rnacentral:tRNA from 1 species
GUCACGAUAGCUCAAGUGGUUACAGCAGUGGCGAGUUGAGCCAAAGGUCGUGGGUUCGAAUCCCACUCGUGACA